GAUAGGAUGGCUGAAGUAUUAGGCUGUAAAUUGUAAAUUUAUAUAUGGUUGUUUACCUCCUGUCA
rnacentral:tRNA from 2 species